GUGAAUCAUCGAAUUUUUGAACGCAAAUUGCACUCCCUGGUAUUCCGGGGAGGAUGCCUGUUUGAGGGUCGUUAGAAGAAAAAUCGAAGCAUCGCUCUGUUGUUGAGGGGGAUCGCGUCGGAAUUGAGCCGUCUUGCAAAUGUUAAUUCAUGUCAAAGUGGCUUAAAAUUAAUCCAUCCGGUACGAUUAAAGCGUAUUGAAGAUCAAGUGUGAGGA
rnacentral:misc_RNA from 1 species